rnacentral:rRNA from 1 species
AUUGAACGCUGGCGGCAUGCCUUACACAUGCCAGUCGAACGGCAGCACGGGUGCUUGCACCUGGUGGCGAGUGGCGAACGGGUGAGUAAUACAUCGGAACAUGUCCUGUAGUGGGGGAUAGCCCGGCGAAAGCCGGAUUAAUACCGCAUACGAUCUACGGAUGAAAGCGGGGGGCCUUCGGGCCUCGCGCUAUAGGGUUGGCCGAUGGCUGAUUAGCUAGUUGGUGGGGUAAAGGCCUACCAAGGCGACGAUCAGUAGCUGGUCUGAGAGGACGACCAGCCACACUGGGACUGAGACACGGCCCAGACUCCUACGGGAGGCAGCAGUGGGGAAUUUUGGACAAUGGGCGAAAGCCUGAUCCAGCAAUGCCGCGUGUGUGAAGAAGGCCUUCGGGUUGUAAAGCACUUUUGUCCGGAAAGAAAUCCUUGGCCCUAAUACGGUCGGGGGAUGACGGUACCGGAAGAAUAAGCACCGGCUAACUACGUG